GUAAGUUAAUACCUUGCUGUUUUGACGUUACCAACAGAAUAAGCACCGGCUAACUUCGUGCCAGCAGCCGCGGUAAUACGAAGGGUGCAAGCGUUAAUCGGAAUUACUGGGCGUAAAGCGCGCGUAGGUGGUUCAGCAAGUUGGAUGUGAAAUCCCCGGGCUCAACCUGGGAACUGCAUCCAAAACUACUGAGCUAGAGUACGGUAGAGGGUGGUGGAAUUUCCUGUGUAGCGGUGAAAUGCGUAGAUAUAGGAAGGAACACCAGUGGCGAAGGCGACCACCUGGACUGAUACUGACACUGAGGAGCGAAAGCGUGGGGAGCAAACAGGAUUAGAUACCCUGGUAGUCCACGCCGUAAACGAUGUCGACUAGCCGUUGGGAUCCUUGAGAUCUUAGUGGCGCAGCUAACGCGAUAAGUCGAC
rnacentral:rRNA from 1 species